ACGCCAUUCAAACAAACGUCAAACCAAAAAUUUAUUCGAUCUAUUCAAAAAGGAAAAUACAUGUGCAAAUAUAUAAACAAUGGAUGAGCAGUCCAUACUAUAAGCUGCAAUCGAGAAAAGAUGCCUUGUGGAAUGAAAUCGGGAGAGAUAUGAACGAGAAAUGUGUCGCCGUAGAUGGCUAACACUUCGUAACCGGCACGGGAGGGAAGUGCGAAAGGCUAACGCCCCCUCAGGCAGGCAGGAUGGAAAUCCAAAGGCAGUGGCAUUUGUUGGAGGCUAUAAAAUUCCUGAAGCCACAUAUUGUACCACGACCGGUUAGAUGCUCACAAAAUAUUUGUGAAACCGCUGUCUGUGAUGAGGUCCCUUGUCGCCGUUAAUCCCUAUUACAAUAUCAACGAUUAUU